AUGGCGAUUCCAGCUGCGGAGGCGCCGGCGCUCGACUCUGGAUCGACGUCGACUGCCAACGAUUCAGCAGCGUGCUUGGGGGCUUCCGUUACGGCCGGUGGCGGCGCCGCGGCGGCCGCGUCAGGAGUAGGCUCGCCGGAAUCGGUCGUCCGCCCGUUCUCUCCUGAUACGCGUCGGUCGGAUGAGGGUGGGGCACAGCCGGCGGCAGAGAAGGCUUUAUUUGAUGUUGAGUUCUCCGGGGGAUCCUGCACCAUGUUCAGCUCGGGCGGUGGCGAUGUGGCUGUCGGACACGCCCAUGGCGCGGCGCCGCCCGUCGUCUCGCGCGGCUCGAUUCAGUCCUUACCCCACAGUGCGCAAGCAUCCACAAACACCACCAUCCGAGUUGGCUGGAAGCGCAGGCCAAGAGGGCCGCAAGCACCAAACGAGCGGGCGGCGGUGGUUGAUCGUGUGCCGGCACUUGAAGCUGCCAUACGAGGGUUCGCUGACAGGGGGACUGAUGUGGUUGUCAACCCGGCGCUUGGCACAAUUUUCGAUUCUAUGCCGGAGGCGUAUGAAUUCUACAAUCUUAUUCUCGUCGCUGGUUAA
rnacentral:rRNA from 1 species